GUGACAGUUUGACUCCUCAACAGUCAUACUGGUGGCAGGAGCACAGAGCAGUGCCUCUUGAUUGCUGGUUCAGGGGGCAUGACCCUGAGCAUUUGAGGAGAGGAGGCAUGUGGUCAGCUGUUUCAUUUUGGGGCUCUUCCUGGCCCUUAGAAGACCGAGAUGUACCCGACUACACAGAAGACGAAGUUGAAGUCACUCUUCUAGAAACCGCCUGGUGCAGAUGCCAUGGUGACAGAUAUGAAAGGAUGGGCCUUUGAACAUGGCUCAGCUCACCAGACAUGACAUCUGGAGCCGGAUCCUCCUGGCGUCACCUAGACUGGAUGCCCUGAAGACAGACUUUGUGCUCCCUGCAAGCUCAUUCCAGUCCCCAGAGCGCCUGGAACCCUUGCCACUGAGAUUCGAGUGAAGAAUGAGAUAAGUCCUAAGAAUGUGGCCGAUUGGGCUGGAGUCCCCUCACAAUCAUAUACUGGAUACCCAGCAGGAGACUUUGCCUGCUGAGCCCUCCCCAGGGUGGCUCCCACAAUGACAGGACAUUGCUGAUGGGAACCAGAGUGUCCCCCAACCCCUCAUUUCCCAACCAACUUGCCAUCAGACAUAGGUCUCUAGUAGCUUCUGGCAUUUCAGAGACCAAGGAAGGUGAAGUUUGCUGAAGGUUCUGGGCCCCUCUGGUGUCUCUACACUCAGAGUUUACAUUGGAGAGCCCUCGUUCUCUCGUGAGCUCCCACACAGCCUGAGGCCCUGGUUAUGCUCUGCUGAAGCAGUCUGCCCACCGUGGCCUGCUAACUGGUCUUCCAUGGAGGGACCGAGGCUGCGUCACCUUGACCUUUAGAGCCAUACCCUCAGAUCUCUGUCUUUGGUCUCUUAAGGUAGAACAUGGCUCAGCUCACCAGACAUGACAUCUGGAGCCGGAUCCUCCUGUCCAGAUGUGUCCAGAUGUGGCUUCCAUCCUCCUUUUAAAUCGUAUGCUAUCUGUCCUUAUUCCUGAGGCUGGGGUGUACUCCAAUUGCCUUGGUCUCUGCCUCCCCACUUGACAGCUGGUUCAUUUGCCAUGCACACACAGCUUCUAGAUACCCUGUUCUUUCUUCUGGAUGUGUGUAGGUGCUGCUCAGCCACUGCUUCUGUGACCCCCAAAAACCCAAGGGGAUGGGGACCUGACUGAUUCUCCUUUUCUGGGCUGCUUUUGCCACAGCUGACCCAUGAUGAAGUGGGAGCCAAGUCCUCAUAGCCCUUCCUAUUGAGUAUGCAUCCCAAGGUCCAUGCUGUAGAGACCAGCCACCUGAGAGUCCAAGCCAGUAUCUCCUCUUUUCCUUACGUAGAAUCUGCACAAGAGGAGCCAGGUCCCUCCCUUUUUGUAGGUUUGUCCCCUCCAUGUCAGACAGGAUGUUUCUAGUGGGCACAUCCUUCCUUCAGUAAACCCCUCAAAGGGCCUUGCUCCCUGGGGUUGGAGGCUCUUUCAAUUGGGAAGUUGCUGCGAUCUUUCCCUUUCAGAUCUGC